GGAAGCAGCAGCAGAAGAAGAAACUCACAAGUCCAGAGAUCGUCAACGAGACCAGAGAGCUCAUCAAUACUCGAUAAGAACAGCUGAUCAGUUUGUUACUGCGAUGACUUCACUGCGGCAGGUGAUUGGACUUCACUGAUAAUCAAUAACUGAUACUGUAGGACUUCAGUGAGGAUAGCUUGGUGCUACAGGUGAUCAGAGCACACAGAUAAUCAAUAAUCAAUCCUGUGUGACGUCAGUGAGGACCACCAGCUGCUAUCAGGUGAUCAGAGCACACAGAUAAUCAAUAAUCGAUAGGUUGUGAGUUGGGAUGGCAGCGGCGCUGCAGCUGCCCGCCGAGCUGUGGCUGCAGGUGUUCAGCUUCCUGUCCUGGAGAGACAAACUGAGCAUGCGCUGCACCUGUUCGCACUUCAGACACCUGGUGGAUAAGUCCCGCCCCCUGUGGCGCGGCUUCAGCGUGGUGCUGCGACACUUUUCCCGCUACAACCGUCCGUUCUGGCGCAGCCUGGCUCAGCGGCACGUGGGCAGCGUGUCUCUGCGCUCAGGUAAGAAGAAGGACCUGAAGCAGUUGUCCACCUGGCUGCCUGCCUUGGACGCGCUGCGAUUGGACGACUGGAGGGAAGGGGGCGUCGACGAGCUGAAACAGUUCCGCCAGCUGCAGCAUCUGUCCGUCACUUCCUGUUCAACACCGCUGAAGAACCCAGACUUCCUGUUGUCUCUGCGCCACCAGCUGACGCAGCUCAGCCUCUGUAACAUCCAGCUCACCUGUCCGGCCCCUCACCUGUUGGCCGCCGUCAGUCAGCUGACCCGCCUCACCUCCCUGCAGCUGCAUCACGACGGCAGUCUGAGGUUCCCGACGCUCAGCGGCGUCCUGAGUCACCUGACUGAGCUCAGACACCUGUCCUGGACCAUGAUCACCUACAAAACACUGUCACAUGACUUCUUUAGCCCCGCCCACCACCGAGCAGGUGACACUGUUCUGCAGCUGUCUGACCUGCAGCUGUUGAAUUACGACGCCAUGGUAACAGAGGAAACGCUGCAGCCUUUGUCCCGCCUCCGCAGCCUGUCAAUCUUCCACCUGUAUUCCGUACCUGGACCCACUUGCCACCUGAGAACGUGGCUGACGUCACUGCAGCAGCUGUGCAGCCUCAGCAUCCACGGAGGCCACCCCCUGGCGGUGUACGCUGACUGCCUGCCGUCCUCCCUCCUCAGUCUGACCCUCUGUGUGGACCUGCAGCCUGAAGACCUGCAGCUGGUCUCCAUCAGAGCGCCUCACCUGGAACACCUGCACCUGGAGCCCUGGAGCUCCUCCUCCAACCUUGUCAGACUCCUCCCACAGCUGUUCCCUCACCUGAGGACGCUGCGGAUCAGACACCAACACGUGUCGGACGAGGACUUCCUGUGUCUGCAGCAGCUGCAGCAGCUUCACACUCUGGAGGUUCUGGACUCGUACUACAGACCCGACCCGACGGACCCCAGCUGGGUCGUCUACCAGCCCAGUCCUCGUCUGCUGCAGCUGAGUGCCGACCUUCAGCGACGCACCAGUCACAGAGUCCGAGUCGUCACCAGCUCACACAGAGACCCGCUCACCUGCGACUGUGUCUGACCAAUCAGCAGCCUGAUCACUUGAACACGUUUCCAGCCGUUUAUUGCUUUGCCAGCUGCCAUCACAGAUGCAUGAUGGUUAAUGAUGCUGCCACCACCAUGCUUCACAUCAUGAUGCUGCCACCACCGUGCUUCAAUCUAGAUGGUGUGUUUGUGACGUUUAGUGUGUUUUCCUGGUGAGAUUCACUAAAAUAAACCAUUUUAAACUUCUGAUCAGUCGA